rnacentral:lncRNA from 1 species
AGACAACAAUGUGCAGCCAUUAACUGCAGCAGGUGCCCUUGGCUGCCCAGCCAGCACCAGGGAAGUUCUCCUCUGGUCUAAGGAGACUUGUGGCAGCAUCACUGUUUCCAUUACCAGGGAGGCUGUUGCUAUGGACACCUGGCCAGUGCAAAUGAUACAUGAAGGAUGAGGGCCAAAAAAGGAGGAAGGAAAAAGAAACCUGAAGAUAAGUGUGUUUUGAAAUCUUGCCAGGAAGCUUUUCCUUAAAAAAAAAAAAAAAAGAAAAAAGAAAAAGAAAAAAAAGAAGGUAUUUUAAUAGCUUUUUAUUUUUAUUCAUCAUGCCAGUUAGCUUGAGUUUAUGCUGCGGCACUUUCAUUAGAAAUUCCCAGAGACUUCAAAUCCUCCACCUUGCAUCCUGGAAGAAUGACUUGCAGCUUUUUGUAAAAUUGGCAAGCAGCCUCAUGGCUUUAAUAUGGGAGUGACUUUAACCUCUUCUUUCUCCUUCGCACUCUCUCUUUCCAUUUCACCCCCUUCUUCCCCCAGAUAAAUUAUACUGCUGAUUUACUUGGGAACUGAAUAAUAGGAGGCGAAAAGAAGGAAAUAAAAUUAAUGACAUUUACUUUCACAGCUCUGUGACUCAGGAUAACUGGAAAAGGGCUUUGUACUGGCAGACUGAAGUCACAUCAGUUUGAUGUCACCAGAUCAAGUCACUCGCACAAGCAGAAGUAAUGAUAUCAGACCUCUCUCUUCUUCUGGAAAGGCAUGGGUCUUUGGAAGGGAGACUCCCCCUGCACCUGCUUCAUUCUCCUUCUUUCCUCAUACAUGCAGUGUCCUCUGCUGGACUGAUGUUCACAAGACUUCCUGGAACAGUGGUUCCUCACUGAGGAUGCAUAGGGGGAAUGUGCAGGACCAGAAUAUGCAGCACUGUUUUCCCUGGGGUAAAUUAGAGGAUUCCAGGCUGGGGCUCCUUUAAUUUAUCCCUGGGGCCAUGCUGGAACUUUAGCAGUCCAGGCUUAAAGAGGUGGUAGGUGAAGAAAGAUGGCAUUUUCCACCUCUGGCCCCCACAUCCCUUCUCAGGUGUGCUGAGCUCAGGCACAAGGGGUUGGUCCAAGCCCUGCAUGCUCUUUGCCCC